GGUGAACGCUGGCGGCGUGCCUAAUACAUGCAAGUCGAGCGAACGGACGAGAAGCUUGCUUCUCUGAUGUUAGCGGCGGACGGGUGAGUAACACGUGGAUAACCUACCUAUAAGACUGGGAUAACUUCGGGAAACCGGAGCUAAUACCGGAUAAUAUUUUGAACCGCAUGGUUCAAAAGUAAAAGACGGUCUUGCUGUCACUUAUAGAUGGAUCCGCGCUGCAUUAGCUAGUUGGUAAGGUAACGGCUUACCAAGGCAACGAUGCAUAGCCGACCUGAGAGGGUGAUCGGCCACACUGGAACUGAGACACGGUCCAGACUCCUACGGGAGGCAGCAGUAGGGAAUCUUCCGCAAUGGGCGAAAGCCUGACGGAGCAACGCCGCGUGAGUGAUGAAGGUCUUCGGAUCGUAAAACUCUGUUAUUAGGGAAGAACAUAUGUGUAAGUAACUGUGCACAUCUUGACGGUACCUAAUCAGAAAGCCACGGCUAACUACGUG
rnacentral:rRNA from 1 species